rnacentral:lncRNA from 1 species
CCUUCUCAGAUGACAGUGCCCUGUGAGGAGCUCCAUAAUAAUCCUAGCUUUAUUUUUAUGCAAUGCAAGCAACUCUUAAGGUCUCUGUGCAGGAGAGCUUAAAAUGAGAGCUCUCACUUGCCUAAAUCCAGGAGUAGACCUCCAAUGAAUGAGGUGCUGAGCUAUCAACCAGGCCCUGAUAACCCACUCAAUUUCAUCAAAUCUGUCCAGGGCAGACUUGGGUCCAAUAAAGGUACGAGAAGCCUCUUCCUUGGCCAGCCAUCAGCAACCUCAUUGCCCUCAAUCUCUCUGUGCCCUGACAUCAAAACAAGUUGCAUCCUGUUCCUGGUAGCUAGUUCCUCAAUGAGAA